CCUACGGGUGGCAGCAGUGGGGAAUAUUGCACAAUGGGGGAAACCCUGAUGCAGCAACGCCGCGUGAGUGAUGACGGCCUUCGGGUUGUAAAGCUCUGUCUUCAGGGACGAUAAUGACGGUACCUGCGGACGAAGCCACGGCUAACUACGUGCCAGCAGCCGCGGUAAUACGUCGGGGGCGAGCGUUGUCCGGAUUUACUGGUGGGAAAGGGAGCGUAGGCGGACGUUUAAGUGUGGUGUGAAAUACUCGGGCUCAACUUGAGUGCUGCAUUUGAAACUGGAAGUCUAGAGUGCAGGAGAGGAGAAUGGAAUUCCUAGUGUAGCGGUGAAAUGCGUAGAGAUUAGGAAGAACACCAGUGGCGAAGGCGAUUCUCUGGACUGUAACUGACGCUGAGGCUCGAAAGCGUGGGGAGCAAACAGGAUUAGAUACCCGUGUAGUC
rnacentral:rRNA from 1 species